rnacentral:tRNA from 1 species
GCGAUCGUUGGCCCAGUGGUUAGAGCGUAGGACUCGUAAUCGAACGGUCGCGAGAUCGAGUCCCGCUAGAGGCU